rnacentral:rRNA from 1 species
UACGAAGGGUGCAAGCGUUACUCGGAAUUACUGGGCGUAAAGCGUGCGUAGGUGGUUCGUUAAGUCUGAUGUGAAAGCCCUGGGCUCAACCUGGGAACGGCAUUGGAUACUGGCGAUCUGGAGUGCGGUAGAGGGUGGCGGAAUUCCCGGUGUAGCAGUGAAAUGCGUAGAUAUCGGGAGGAACAUCCGUGGCGAAGGCGGCCACCUGGACCAGCACUGACACUGAGGCACGAAAGCGUGGGGAGCAAACAGG